rnacentral:rRNA from 1 species
CCUUCUUCUUCCCUCUUUCUCCUUCUUUCCUUUUCUUCCCUUUCUUUCCUUCUUUUUUCUCCUUUCGGUGUUAAAGCGCCCAGGCUUAACCGGGCGAGGACAAUGAAGACUGGGCAGCUAGAGGACGGUAGAGGGGUGUGGAAUUCCGGGUGUAGUGGUGAAAUGCGUAGAGAUCCGGAGGAACACCAGAGGCGAAGGCGACCCCCUGGGCCGUACCUGACGCUAAGACGCGACAGCACGGGGAGCGAACGG